CAUUAACCUGACCUCCAGUUCUCAAUUGGAUAACAUGAUAUCAACAUUUCAGGAGUCUCUGAACUUCAGGAGCUACUCUUACAAAAAGGAAAAAAAAACUGGAUACAGUCUGGUGCUUCGACCAGCAGUUUUCCUUCGAGAUGGUCACUUCGCUAUGCACCGAAAUUUGUUCUAUAGUUUCUUCAUGCAUCUAAUUAUCUCAACCUUACUAUAUCAGAUAACAACUUCCUAAUUACGAAAAGAUCAGAAAACUUGACGUAGACAGUUCUAGCACCUUACUUCGCACAUUUGCAACAGCUUUCCCAAAAUGGCAAAAUCUAAAGAGCUAUACCUUUUGUUUUGGUCAAGGAUAAUCACAAUGUCUUGGCAACCUUGUCAUAUAUUUGAUUCUGACCAGAUAUCUUUGCAACAUACAUAUUUUCAUGAACAGCAUUGAACCCAUCAUCUGCAUUUUUAAAACGGGUACCAUAGUUGUUGACAAUAAAGGUCUCAACUACUUGAUGGCCGCUAGCUCCUCAACAUCAGAAAACACCAUCAAAAGGCAUAAUAAUGUAGUAGAUCCUAUAGGAAGCAUUCUGCUUUCUCAAUCUUUUGAUGGCGUCUUCUGUGAUCUGGGUUAUCUAACACACCAGAAAGGCCUCUCAUACUUGUUUCGGGUUGAGGCUGGGCCAGGGGGUUGCGGAUAAGUUGUUCAUGUCCAUCUCUACAAGCGGACGCUUGGUGAGACUCCUCGACCAACCGUGGACCUCAUUAAUUGGUUGUUGCAAGAGUACCAAUGGUGUCAAAUUUCUUCCCCUUCCUCUGGAGCAGCGGAAAUUCAGCCACGACUUGUGAUGAAGGAUGGAAGACUUCUUGUGAUGCGAGUCGAGAUUGUCAUUAGGUUGUAAAUGGAUCUAUUGCAAUACUUGUGUGAAUCCAUAUUAUAAAAGGAGAUCGAUUCUUCUGAUAAUAAGUCGACCAAUUUAUAUGACUCAUGCGCUUAUGAGUUCCAUCUGAAGAUGCUCAUCGACAAAGGAUGAAGGUCUUCACCAAAUGAUCCUCAUAACCUGUAUACUCCUUUGGUCUCAAGGUACAAUGCGUAUAAGAUUUUUCAAGUCAAAACUUCAUAAAUUUUGACCAAAUUUCCAGAACAAUCUUAGGAACAUCUAUAAUACCAAGUCAAUACCACGCCUCGCGCACUGAUCAUUUGCAACAAUUCUGCACAGUCCGUCUCCACGAGCAGUGAUCGGUUCGUCCAGUGAAGGGCCAACUGUAGUCCUUCCUUCAUCGCAGUCAUCUCAGCUUCGAGGGCAUCACCACAAUUGAACAGCGACCGCGUCGCAACAAAGAUGACUGCACCCUCAGUAUCAUCCCGGCACCUGCCGUACCAUCCGCCUUGACAAACACCCCAUCAAUGUUCAGUUUUGCAUAUUCUCUGUCAGGAGCUUCCCAAUCCCAAUACAUCUUAGGCCUUAUUUGAUGUGCGACAGGAGGUUUGUACCCAGAGAUAUCAAGUACUUGUUUACCUUUCACUGGAUCUGCUUCUGAAUGUUGCCUAAUCAUGCAAAGAAAAAAAAUAGAUAAAGGCCGGGGUAAUGAAAACCGUUGCAUAUUUAUGCUAGAAAAGACAGUCAUGAGGUAUAUCUACUUUAUUAUGCAACAAAGAAGAAGAGGGCCUUUUUCUUUUUCUCUUUUCCUUUUCCUUUUCCUUUUUCUUUUUCUUUUUCCCUUUCCCUUUUUUUUCAUUUUCUUCUUUUUUCACGUGGAUGAUUGAGCAUAUGUGCUUAUAUACACUACACCAUGUUAUGUCGCAUCAUAUGGUCAGGUUCCAGCAGCCGGUCAGCAGUAGAUCUCAUUUGUUGAUCCCUACUCGAUCGACCAAUUUUGUUUGUCUUCUGCUAGCUACACCCUACAGCCGAGCUGGCAGAUCGUCUCACUGAUCGAAGAUCAAGCCACCAGCUAACCACGGCAGGUAAAUACAAGUUAUAUCGUCGCAUUCUUAUUAGCUUUGUUUAAUUGUGACAAAGCUCUGGAAGUGUACUCAAAAGUCGUCGUCGUUGCAUGUCCAUUUCCAGCGGUGAAAACGAUAUGGCAGGAGGACUAGAUCAGCUAGUGGCGCUCUGGAGAGAGUGGGGGAUCCAAGUGCUGGUGCUGCUGAGUUUAGCACUCCAGGUAACUCUCCUCAUCACGGCGGAGAUCCGCCGUCGGAAAGACUCCGGCGUGCUAAGGGUCGUCGUGUGGUCGGCAUAUCUACUGGCUGACACAACGGCCAUAUACACUCUGGGCCAUAUGUCGGUGACCAGCAGGUCGCCGGAGCACCAGUUAGUGGCGUUCUGGGCUCCGUUCCUGCUAUUGCACCUUGGUGGCCAGGACAACAUCACCGCCUACUCCAUCGAGGACAACCAUCUGUGGCUGCGCCACCUGCAGAGUUUCGUUGUGCAGGUCCUCGCGGCCGCCUAUGUCCUCUACGAGUCAUCCAUCUUCGUAGGCGGCCGCCGGACCAUGCUCGGCCAGGCCACCAUCCUCAUGUUCGUGGUUGGUGUUGUCAAGUACGGGGAGAGAGUAUGGGCACUCAUGUCUGCCAGCAGUAGUGCCCUGUCUGGGAAGAACUACAACAGUUUUGGCAGGUUGCAUUUUUGAAUACCUCACUUAUACCAGAACUUUGAGGGAUGGACAAUUUCUAGCUCAUGACUUGUUGAACGUACCCAAGCAUCUACUUAAGGGGCCGUUACCUCUUUUGGCAUUUGACUCGAAACUAGGUUGUUUUAGCUGGGAGGACAUGUACCAUGUUGCUGAGAUCCAACUCUCGCUGAUGCACGGCAUCUUCUACAGGAAGAAUGAGUUGAUCCACAAUUGGUACGGGUAUUGCAUCCGUGUUGCCUUGCUGCCGGCCACUGUCACCGCAUUGCUGCUGUUCCGUCGAGUAGGUGACAAAGAUGGUUUCAGCAAAGUAGAUCUCGUUGUCACUUAUGUUUUGCUCUCUGGAGCCGUCGUCCUGGAGAUCACAUCAGUGCUGAGGGCCAUGUCCUCCACCUGGAGGUACCUGUGUUUCACCCGCAUCCGCAUUCUUCCUUGUUGUAUGCCUCCUAUUAGUCGUCCAUUGUUAUAUCUUCUUGAACUUGUAUUUCAAUCUGGGGAGCUCGUCAGACGGGCAAUACAGAAAGUAGGAAUACUUAAGAGGUACUGGUCAGGCUCCAUGGGGCAACACAACUUUAUUUACAUGUGCAGCCACUGUAAGGACAGCCGAGGCAGCAAAAUCGCGAGAUGGAUAGGAAGAGAGGACUGGUGGAACACACUGGUUUACACGUCCUUGUCUGUCCCCGUCUCGCUAGAUUUCAGCGAGCUGCUGAAGGAACAACUGCGGGCAAGUGUGGGCGUCGACAAAGAGAAUCGAGACCACAUCCAAAACUCAAGGGGCCGGGCGGCGCUGAAGAAGAGGGGGUUGCAUGAGGAGCUGGCCUGGAGUGUGGACUCUGAGCUGGAUGAGAGCAUCCUGGUUUGGCACAUCGCCACUGAUGUCUACCUCAGCUGGUACGAGGCGGAACAUAAACGCCUGCCACAUCCUGCAAAGGUAACCCAGGAGCUCUCCAAUUACAUGAUGUUUCUGCUCGCAGCACGUCCCUACAUGCUGCCUGACAAUGCUAGUCGCCAAAGGUAUAUUGAACUGUGCAACAAGGUGAUCUAUCAUCUCCAAUACAACUCGGCCGUGGAUUUGAUCAAGUUAAUGCAGGGGCAUGGAGAUGCUCUCAAUGCUGAACAAACUCAGCCUGCCGUUGUGGUGGAAAAUCUAGUAGUCGAUAUGCCUGCUGCUACAACCAAAGAGAGUAGUGUAACAUUUGACAGAGCAUGUCAGCUUGGCUCGAAGCUGAUUAGCAAAGGGCUGGAAACACCUGAUGCCAUGCUUGAUCUGAUCAGCCAAGUGUGGGUGGAGAUGCUCUGCUACACAGGACACCGGUGCAGGCCAGAUUCUCAUGCCAGACAGCUGAGCAGUGGCGGCGAGAUCACCACCGUCGUUGCCAUUUUGAUGGAAUUCUUGAAAUCUGAUUUUUCUGAAGUUCAACAAAGAAGAGCGGGAUGCUGAGUUGGGGAGCCCGUAACACUAACACUCUGAAUGUUAAUUCUAUGUAGUAAUGCUAUCACACCACCAUAGAUAGCACCAUGAUUGGCAAAAGAUAAGCCUUUGUUUUGUAAAGAUAUCUAUGACAGGCAAUCAAUAAUAAUAUCCAUCGUCGGGCUUUGCUUUCCCCUUUCGUGCUUGGAUUAACUCGGUCAUCUCGAUGCAUGAUCACCAGGUAUUCUUGCUCCCCGUCCUCAUAGAUGCCGGCAGCUUGUAUCUGAGUACGGCCACGUCGAAAGCAGCUAGCUCUACAUAUUUCUUUCUCUUUUCCCAUAUUCACUAAUCUUAACCACUUGUGUGUGUAUGCACCACACCACUCCGCGGUCUUGCUAGCAGUACUCACAAACUACAGAAAAUAAGUCAUACUCGAACAAGCAAACAGCUUAGGUUGGUAUAGGGAAAAUAAGUCAGCCUCCAUGGUGGUCGAAUUUGAAAUGAUCAAAACGUUUAAUUUUUUUUUUUUGAAAGGAUACAAGUGUGUAAAUUUUCAGGACGAAAUACGAGCUGGAUCACCGUGCCUCACGUAUGGCUGGAGCUUGGAAGGAUAACCAUGCGUUUGGACGGUGGCAACCAGAAGUUGAUACUAUUAUCUGCCUAAAUAAGCAUCUCAAAUAUGUGGAACUUCAAGGGUACCGUUAUAAGUUUAUGACACUAGGGAAGAAGAAUUUGCAAGUUUUCUUAUGGCUGGAGCAAAAGUCCUCAGGGCCAUGCGAAUGAUGUAAGGUGGCAAAGCUUCGUCGAAAGCUCAACUUAGCUUUGAAUGGAGGAGCGACAUGGCUACUCUCCAACGAGAAGUUGACAGUUACAACGUGCGUGAAGUUUGCAUUGUUUGAUCUCGGGAUUAGAACAACACAAUCGAGUAAGCAUCAACUACUUUGCUUCACGGGAGAUGAUAACCAUUCCUUACCAAUCCAGCUCGUUGUCAAAGCAAUCUUCAAGUUGACUGAAUCUUUCUCGGUCAGCGAAACUACGACACCGAAGUUCAAGAAACCACAACAGGCUUGUAUAAAAGGCAAUAUGGAACUAAAAACACAGAACUACAGCGCCAUGACAAGUUGGGCCUAUAGGGGAUAAACCCACAAGAAUUCCACCAAGCACUGCAGAGGAUGCAGCAGUGCUGACUAGUUAAUGCCAAAUGAUCAAGUGAUGUAUGCUCACUGGGACUGUUCUGAAAAUUCUGUUUUCAUCCGGUACCAUUAACCUGACCUCCAGUUCCACUUGGAUAUCAAUGAUAUCAGCAUUUCACAAGUUUCUCGACUUCCUUUACAGGAAAAGACAAGAAAAAGAUUCAACCAAGACUCAACCAGUUUACAUUUUUGGUCGCAUCGCUAUCAACGAAAAGAUGUUCCACCUUCCCUUCGCCCAUUCAUCUAACUCUCUGCACCACUCUUGCUAUUGUAAACUUCUCACACAUGUACCAAGUCAUAUAACUACUCCAAACAAAAGUAUCAGAAAACUUGACGCAGCCGGUCCUAGCACUUUAGCUUCUUUGUCGAGGCGGAGUAGCCACUAGCACCUUCCACGAGCCGUUUUGCAAGGUUGCUGCUGGUACUGCUGCCGCUGUUCAUCCAACUACCCUUAGGAUCAGCCACCUUGAGAUCUGCAGCGUCGUACCUGAUAAUGUUGGUCACAAACGCGUAUAUAGAUGUCUCGGCUCUUGGCAGACUCUCCCUUUCAAGAAUCGAUUGCUGCCCGGCACGAGACUGGCGCUCUGCAGUGCACUUCAACUCCUGCAGGACUAGGCUUCUAUCCCUAACAAAACUCUCCUUUUGCUUCUGCACGGAUGCCAUUGGAAUUUUAUGGUAAGCAAAAUGGUAGAUCCACUCACAAGUUCA
rnacentral:lncRNA from 1 species